rnacentral:lncRNA from 1 species
CAGGGCACGGGAGCAAAGGCGGCGCGCGUCAAACGAAGCGCAAGGACGAGGGGCUCCAAAAAUUUGAAAGCGCAGGAAAACUGGCUCACCGGCGAGGUCGGGGCGGCGCGGUGAAUGGCGGCGGCGGCGGAGCUUUCCGGCGACGAAUUAGGGCGGCCUGGCGGCGUGCGAGCGGGGGCGAGAAGAGGGAAAAAGAAGCGGGGAGGCGGAGCUUUAUAAUGACGCGGGCGGAGCACUUCGGGAAGGCCGAAAUCGGCGGGGAGCGGUGAUGGCGGCGGCGACUGCGCGCGGGUCGGGCGGCGUGACGCGCGGGGCUUUCCUCGCGGGGAAGAAGACCCUGACGCGUGGGUCCCACGCGUCAGCGGCAGCGGGCGCGCGCGCACGUGGCUGGGCCGGUCGGGUCGGCUCGGGCGCGGUCGGACCAGGCCGGUUCGGUCCGGUUUUCUAUUUUUUUUUCCUUUUAGCCUUUUCUUUUUCUGCUUUUCUCAUUUCUUUGAUAUCUUUUGAGUUUGAGCUCCAAAUUGGCCCAAAUAAAAUCCAGAAAAAUUGUAAAAUCUUGUUCUAUCAAGAUACAACUUUUGGGAGUAGUUUCUCUUCAAAAUAAAAUAUGUAAAAAUACAUUUGCCCUAUAAAUGCUUUAGGGCCAUCUAACUAUUUAAAUAAAAAUACUUUUUCAACUCCAAAUAAUUAACCAAAAAUUAUGGGAUAGCUUAUAUAUGCACUAAACCCUUUUUAUACAUCAACCCUAUUGGUUUGAAAAUCCAAAGGUUACAGGGAUGUAAACAAGAUCUCUUAAAGCCUUUUGUGAUUCAAAAUUUGAAUUCAAACAUGCAAUUGUGGCAUGGUGCUCAUGGAUGCAAUGCACAUGUAAAAGUUUGAAAUUUUGGGAUGUUACAAUUUUUGCACCGGUUAUAGAUUAAUUGCUCGCCGGAGUUCGUUGCUGCCACCGCCGUUCUUCGCGUUUCUCCGCCGUUCCGGUG